UAACACGUGGGGAACCUGCCCCAUAGUCUGGGAUACCACUUGGAAACAGGUGCUAAUACCGGAUAAGAAAGCAGAUCGCAUGAUCAGCUUUUAAAAGGCGGCGUAAGCUGUCGCUAUGGGAUGGCCCCGCGGUGCAUUAGUUAGUUGGUAAGGUAAAGGCUUACCAAGGCGAUGAUGCAUAGCCGAGUUGAGAGACUGAUCGGCCACAUUGGGACUGAGACACGGCCCAAACUCCUACGGGAGGCAGCAGCU
rnacentral:rRNA from 1 species